rnacentral:pre_miRNA from 1 species
UAUGUACUCCCUCCGUUCGGAAUUACUUGUCUCGGAAAUGGAUGUAUCUAGAACUAAAAUACAUCUAGAUACAUUCAUUUCUACGACAAGUAAUUUCGAACGGAGGGAGUACGAG